AACGAACGCUGGCGGCAUGCCUAACACAUGCAAGUCGAACGAGACCUUCGGGUCUAGUGGCGCACGGGUGCGUAACGCGUGGGAACCUGCCCUUAGGUUCGGAAUAACUCCCCGAAAGGGGUGCUAAUACCGGAUAAUGUCUUCGGACCAAAGAUUUAUCGCCUUUGGAUGGGCCCGCGUUGGAUUAGCUAGUUGGUAGGGUAAAAGCCUACCAAGGCGACGAUCCAUAGCUGGUCUGAGAGGAUGAUCAGCCACACUGGGACUGAGACACGGCCCAGACUCCUACGGGAGGCAGCAGUGGGGAACAUUGGACAAUGGGCGAAAGCCUGAUCCAGCAAUGCCGCGUGAGUGAUGAAGGCCUUAGGGUUGUAAAGCUCUUUUACCCGGGAUGAUAAUGACAGUACCAGGAGAAUAAGCUCCGGCUAACUCCGUG
rnacentral:rRNA from 1 species